UACGGAAGGGGCGAGCGUUGUUCGGAAUCAUUGGGCGUAAAGGGCGCGUAGGUGGUCUUGUAUGUCUACCGUGAAAGCGUACGGCUCAACCGUAUUUUGUCGGUAGAAACUGCAGGACUUGAGGCUGGGAGGGGCUGGCGGAAUUCCCUGUGUAGCGGUGAAAUGCGUAGAGAUGGGGGAGAACACCAACGGCGAAAGCACUCUGCUGGGCCGACACUGACACUGAGAGACGAAAGCUAGGGGAGCGAAUGGG
rnacentral:rRNA from 1 species